rnacentral:rRNA from 1 species
UACGUAGGGUGCAAGCGUUGUUCGGAAUUAUUGGGCGUAAAGGGCGCGUAGGCGGCCUGUUAAGUCGGACGUGAAAUCCCCGGGCUCAACCCGGGAAUUGCGUCCGAUACUGGCAGGCUUGAAUUCGGGAGAGGGAUGUGGAAUUCCAGGUGUAGCGGUGAAAUGCGUAGAUAUCUGGAGGAACACCGGUGGCGAAGACGGCAUCCUGGACCGAUAUUGACGCUGAUACGCGAAAGCCAGGGGAGCAAACGGG